CCUACGGGUGGCAGCAGUGAGGAAUAUUGGGCAAUGGGCGCGAGCCUGAACCAGCCAAGUAGCGUGAAGGAUGAAGGCCCUACGGGGUGUAAACUUCGUUUAUAAAGGAAGAAAGUGAGGCACGUGGGCCUUUUUGUAUGUACGUUAUGAAUAAGGAUCGGCUAACUCCGUGCCAGCAGCCGCGGUAAUACGGAGGAUCCGAGCGUUAUCCGGAUUUAUUGGGUUUAAAGGGAGCGUAGAGGGGUUGGUCAGUCAGUUGUGAAAGUUUGCGGCUCAACCUUAAAAUUGCAAUUGAUACUGGCAGUCUUGCGUACCGUUUAGUUAGGCUGCAUUCGUGGUGUAUCGG
rnacentral:rRNA from 1 species